rnacentral:snoRNA from 1 species
CGCGAUGAUGAUCAGGCCUGUCUGAUUCGUGAUGAGGAUAUUGAGUUCUGAGCG